rnacentral:rRNA from 1 species
AUUGAACGCUGGCGGCAGGCCUAACACAUGCAAGUCGAGCGGAGCGGCAGCCGGGUGCGUGAUGCCUAGGAAUCUGCCUGGGCGUGGGGGAGAACGUUCGGAAACGGGCACUAAUGCCGAUACCUCUCGGCUGCGCCUGGGUCGGAUUAGCUAGUUGGUGGGGUAAAGGCAUACCAAGGCGAAGAUCCGUAACUGGUCUGAGAGGAUGUUCAGUCACACUGGAACUGAGACACGGUCCAGACUCCUACGGGAGGCAGCAGUGGGGAAUAUUGGACAAUGGGCGAAAGCCUGAUUCAGCCAUGCCGCGUGUGUGAAGAAGGUCUUCGGAUUGUAAAGCACUUUAAGUUGGGAGGCGUUACCAACAGAAUAAGCACCGGCUAACUCCGUGCCAGCAGCCGCGGUAAUUC